rnacentral:lncRNA from 1 species
ACUGCAGAAAGAGGGGCAGGUUGUGCGCACCUCGCUGCGUUUGCUGGGAGAUGUUGUUUCAUAAAGACUCUCAGACCUUUUGUCACAGGGCUACAGGACUACAAUCCCAGGAUGCAUCGGGAUCAAAGCAGUAUGCGACACGGGGAAAAGAUGCGGAGCUGUGUGCGUCUCCCUAGGUCUUCUGGGAGAUGUGGUCUCUUGGCCCUUUGGUCACAGGGCUGCAGGACUACAAUGCCAGCAUGCAGCGGGUUCAUGGACAGUGUGUAUCACUGGAGGAAGACGUGGAGCUGUGCGUGCCUCGCUGGGCUUGCAGGGAGAUGCAGUCUCAUAACUACCCCAGUCGUUUGGUCGCAGGGCUGCAGCAGUACAAUUUCAGCAUAUCUCUGGCUCAGGGAGAGUGCACUAGUCACUGGAGGAAGAGGUGGGAUUGUGACAUACAUCUCUGCCCAGCUCCUGAGUGUUUUAGCUCUGUUUCCUGUGUCCAGCUCACAGAUGGGAUUCUGAUAUAUCACUGAAGCCAGCACCUAAAUGAUGUGACUCUUAUCUCCUGCCUUGGUGCUGCCCACAGGGGACAUUGGGACAUAUCACUUGGCCUUGCACCUAGGAUUUGUUUGGAAGGAGAUUGUGAUACAUUGGUGGGUCCAACUUCUCAGUGACAUUACUCUGUUGACUGUGCUCUGCAAGCAGAAAGCACUGUGACACAUUAUUGGGCCCAACACCAAGGUGAGUCUCCUGCCUGAAGCCUGCCUACAGCAAUUUGUAACAUAUGGCAUUGGGACAUAUCUCUGAGCCCAUCAACUAUUUGACAAGAUUCUCCUUUUUUAACAAAGGCUUUGCCCAUAGGAGAGAUUGUGACAUAAUUCUGAGCCCUGAAAAUAGGGGAUAUUUCUUUUGUUUUCUGCUUGAGCCCCACAUUGUGAUGUAUUUCUCCUCCCAACAACUGAGGGAAGGGAAAGUCCUGCCUGGGUCUUGCCUAUGGGGAGCCUUGUGAAAUCUUUCCGUGUUCAUCACCUUAAAUAUGUGACCCUCAUCUUCUGCCAUGGCCAUGUUUACAGAAGGGAGAGUGGGUUAUUCCUAGACCCAGCACACAGGUCAUGUGAUUCUGCAUCCUGGUGUCUCCAGAGGGGUCAUUUUGACAUAUCUCUAGACUCAUCAACUAGAUAAUGUAAUGCUCCUCUUCCCCCUGAAACCUAUCCAUAGUGGAGAUUGUGAAAUACAGCCUGGCACAGCACCUACAUGAUGGUACUCUCUUCUCAUGCUUGGGUGCUGGCCACAGGGGUGAUUAAGACUUAUAGCUGGGUACAGUCUUCAGGUGAUGUAACUCUCCUCUAUUUUUGGGCCCACACACACAGGGAACUACCAUAUAGCUCUGCUCCUCAGUCUUAGGUGAUGUGACUCUGCUGUCUGUUACCUCCUCUUAGGGGGAAUUGUGAUAUAUUGCUGGGCCCAGAACCGAGGUGAUGUGGCCUUUUCUCUUGCCUGGGCCCUGCAUACAUGGUGUACAGUAACAUAUAUCUGGGUUGAACACAUAGGUGAUGUGACUCUUCUGCAUAGGUCUUGCCAACAGGGGUAUUAUGACAUACUCUUCUAUUCAUUGCCUAGGCGAUGUGACUCUCCACUCUUACCUGGGCCCUUCCAAAAGAGGGGAUUGUGACAUAUCACUGACCCUAACACCAAGGUAAUGUGACUGUUCUCUUUUGCCUGGGUUUGCAUAUUUUGGGUAUUGUGACAUAUCCCUGGGCCCAACACUUAGGGAAUAAGAGGUUUAUUCCUCUACCUUACGUGCAGUGAAGCUUGUGACAUAUUUCUGCAUUCAUCACCAAGAAGAUGUGACUCUUCUGCCUGCAUCCUGACCACAGAGAGGAUUGUGAAAUAUUGCUAGAUCCAGCAUGCAGGUGAUGUGUCUCUGCUGCCUCGUUCCUAAUGUGAGGAGUGGAUUGCAACAUACCAAUGCCUGAACAU